rnacentral:rRNA from 1 species
AACGAACGCUGGCGGCAGGCUUAACACAUGCAAGUCGAACGGGCACCUUCGGGUGUCAGUGGCAGACGGGUGAGUAACGCGUGGGAACGUACCCUUCGGUUCGGAAUAACCCAGGGAAACUUGGGCUAACACCGGAUACGUCCGCAAGGAGAAAGAUUUAUCGCCGAAGGAUCGGCCCGCGUCGGAUUAGCUAGUUGGUGGGGUAAUGGCCCACCAAGGCGACGAUCCGUAGCUGGUCUGAGAGGAUGANCAGCCACACUGGGACUGAGACACGGCCCAGACUCCUACGGGAGGCAGCAGUGGGGAAUAUUGGACAAUGGGCGAAAGCCUGAUCCAGCCAUGCCGCGUGAGUGAAGAAGGCCUUAGGGUUGUAAAGCUCUUUCAGCGGGAAGAUAAUGACGUACCCGCAGAAGAAGUCCCGGCUAACUUCGUGCCAGCAGCCGCCGUAAG